UGGGGAAUAUUGCACAAUGGGGGAAACCCUGAUGCAGCGACGCCGCGUGAGUGAUGAAGGCCUUCGGGUUGUAAAGCUCUGUCUUCAGGGACGAACAAUGACGGUACCUGAGGAGGAAGCCACGGCUAACUACGUGCCAGCAGCCGCGGUAAUACGUAGGUGGCAAGCGUUGUCCGGAAUUACUGGGCGUAAAGGGUGCGUAGGCGGCCAUUUAAGUGGGAUGUGAAAUACACAGGCUUAACUUGUGAAUUGCAUUCCAAACUGGAUGGCUAGAGUGCAGGAGAGGAAAGCGGAAUUCCCAGUGUAGCGGUGAAAUGCGUAGAGAUUGGGAGGAACACCAGUGGCGAAGGCGGCUUUCUGGACUGUAACUGACGCUGAUGCACGAAAGCGUGGGGAGCAAACAGGAUU
rnacentral:rRNA from 1 species